CUUUUCUUAGUUUUCUCACCCUAUCUCAUUCUUUUGCACUCCUCCCUCGUUGCAUUGCCUUGAUUCGUUAUAUAGGGCGAACCACAUGAAGUCGCUUAUGCUUGACCGUUUCCGGUCGGUCAGCCUAUUCGCUGUUUGCCAAAGAGCUAGCUAGCUACGGCUCGAUUUUGAAACGUAUAUGAGGUCAAAGCAGUAGACCUAAGAGUUGGAGUAUGAAGAAGUAAUGUUUUUAAAAUGCAUGCAUUUUCUUGUUUGUAAAUUACUCCUCAAAGGUGUGGAUUCAAAGGAAGUGACGCUUUCUAAUUGACUUGACUCGGAGAGGUUGUCAGAUCAGACCUGUUCCCUGGCAAAAUAUGGUUAAAUAUCUUGUAGUUGUCUUCCCUAAAAUCAGAGUUCUUUGGACAGUGAUGGUUAGGUUAGUUGGUUAGGUUUGACUUAGCUAGUCAUUAGUUUUCUGGGAUGUUCUGGAGUUAAUUAUCAUUAAGGUGUUUCCACAGAGAGAGGUGAUUUCAAACAAACUAAUGAAGUUAAGGGCAACUGCGCAAAAUUUUGUAAAUACAAAGGACACCAUGAACCUAAUCAGCAAUAUCAGUGUUGAUGACGCUUGAUUUGGAAACAUUACCAGAAAAAAAGAAAAAA